UUCAGCUCUUCACAAGGAGUAGAACAAGUCGUGUUAGGAUUAUACAUCGUGAGAGGUGACAAGGUAGCGGUCAUUGGAGAAAUUGAUGAAGAGACAGACUCUGCACUGGACUUGGGGAACAUCCGAGCAGAACCUCUGAACUCUGUAGCACACUGAAGACACAGUGUGUGCUUAGAUGUCUGUAAAUCCUGUACAGAAACUGCUUCUUGUGAAGAUGAUGUUUAGAUUUUUUGAGUGUAUAAUUGUGGAUUUUGACUUUGUGUUGGUACAUUGUAAUACGUAAAGUGAAAUAUUUCUACAUUUUUAUUGGGAAACAUUGCCUAAAUUAAUAAAUGCAGUUGCCUGAUUUA